UACGUAGGGUGCGAGCGUUAAUCGGAAUUACUGGGCGUAAAGCGUGCGCUGGCGGUUGUGCAAGUCUGAUGUGAAAACCCCGGGCUUAACCUGGGGACGGCAUUGGAGACUGCACGACUAGAGUACGUCAGAGGGGGGGAGAAUUCCACGUGUAGCAGUGUCAUGCGCAGAGGUGUGGAGGAAUACCGAUGGCGAAGGCAGCCCCCCGGGGUGAUACUGACGCUCAUGCACGAAAGCGUGGGGAGCAAACAGGAUUAGAUUACCUGGUAGUCCACGCCCUAAAGGAUGUCAAUUAGCUGUUGGGGGUUUGAAUCCUUGGUAGCGUAGCUAACGCGUGAAAUUGACCGCCUGGGGAGUACGGCCGCAAGGUUAA
rnacentral:rRNA from 1 species